UCCUGGUAGUUUGUUCUCUGUGGGUAGAGACUGGGGUGUGAUUCCCCUGGUCAUGGUAGUUUGAGUCAGUCAGGCAGUUCUCUGUAGGUAGAGAGUGGGGUGUGAUUCCCCUGGUCAUGGUAGUUUGAGUCAGUCAGGCAGUUCUCUGUAGGUAGAGAGUGGGGUGUGAUUCCCCUGGUCAUGGUAGUUUGAGUCAGUCAGGCAGUUCUCUGUAGGUAGAGAGUGGGGUGUGAUUCCCCUGGUCAUGGUAGUUUGAGUCAGUCAGGCAGUUCUCUGUAGGUAGAGAGUGGGGUGUGAUUCCCCUGGUCAUGGUAGUUUGAGUCAGUCAGGCAGUUCUCUGUAGGUAGAGAGUGGGGUGUGAUUCCCCUGGUCAUGGUAGUUUGAGUCAGUCAGGCAGUUCUCUGUAGGUAGAGAGUGGGGUGUGAUUCCCCUGGUCAUGGUAGUUUGAGUCAGUCAGGCAGUUCUCUGUAGGUAGAGAGUGGGGUGUGAUUCCCCUGGUCAUGGUAGUUUGAGUCAGUCAGGCAGUUCUCUGUAGGUAGAGAGUGGGGUGUGAUUCCCCUGGUCAUGGUAGUUUGAGUCAGUCAGGC